rnacentral:rRNA from 1 species
AUCAGUAGUUUUUUAAUUAGAAGCUGGUAUGAAUGGUUGAACGAAAUAUUGACUGUCUUUGUUUAAUUUUAAUUGAAGUUUACAUUUAAAUUAAAAGGUUUAAAUUAAAUUAAAAGACGAGAAGACCCUAUAGAUCUUUAUAAAUAAUUAAAUUAAUUUUAUAUAUAAAAAUUUAUUAUUUAUUUAAUUGUUUAUUUUAUUGGGGUGAUAGAAAAAUUUAUUUAACUUUUUUUUUAAAAAACAUUUAUUUAUGGUUAAUUGAUCCUUUUUUAUUGAUUAAAAAAUUAAGUUACCUUAGGGAUAACAGCGUA